rnacentral:rRNA from 1 species
GGGCCCGCACAAGCGGUGGAGCAUGUGGUUUAAUUCGACGCAACGCGAAGAACCUUACCAGGCCUUGACAUCCCGAGAAUCCUGCAGAGAUGCGGGAGUGCCUUCGGGAACUCGGUGACAGGUGCUGCAUGGCUGUCGUCAGCUCGUGUCGUGAGAUGUUGGGUUAAGUCCCGUAACGAGCGCAACCCUUGUCCUUAGUUGCCAUCAUUCAGUUGGGCACUUUAAGGAGACUGCCGGUGACAAACCGGAGGAAGGUGGGGAUGAUGUCAAGUCAUCAUGGCCCUUACGGCCUGGGCUACACACGUGCUACAAUGGUUGGUACAAAGGGUCGCUAAGCCGCGAGGUGGAGCUAAUCCCAUAAAACCAAUCGUAGUCCGGAUUGGAGUCUGCAACUCGACUCCAUGAAGUCGGAAUCGCUAGUAAUCGUGAAUCAGAAUGUCACGGUGAAUACGUUCCCGGGCCUU